rnacentral:rRNA from 1 species
UACAGAGGGGGCAAGCGUUGUUCGGAAUUACUGGGCGUAAAGGGCGCGUAGGCGGCCUGCUAAGUCGAACGUGAAAUCCCCGAGCUCAACUCGGGAACUGCGUCCGAUACUGACAGGCUUGAAUCCGGGAGAGGGAUGCGGAAUUCCAGGUGUAGCGGUGAAAUGCGUAGAUAUCUGGAGGAACAUCGGUGGCGAAGGCGGCAUCCUGGACCGGUAUUGACGCUGAUGAGCGAAAGCUAGGGGAGCAAACGGG